rnacentral:rRNA from 1 species
AACGAACGCUGGCGGCAUGCCUAACACAUGCAAGUCGAACGAGACCUUCGGGUCUAGUGGCGCACGGGUGCGUAACGCGUGGGAACCUGCCCUUAGGUUCGGAAUAACUCCCCGAAAGGGGUGCUAAUACCGGAUAAUGUCUUCGGACCAAAGAUUUAUCGCCUUUGGAUGGGCCCGCGUUGGAUUAGCUAGUUGGUAGGGUAAAAGCCUACCAAGGCGACGAUCCAUAGCUGGUCUGAGAGGAUGAUCAGCCACACUGGGACUGAGACACGGUCCAGACUCCUACGGGAGGCAGCAGUGGGGAAUAUUGGACAAUGGGCGAAAGCCUGAUCCAGCAAUGCCGCGUGAGUGAUGAAGGCCUUAGGGUUGUAAAGCUCCUUUACCCGGGAUGAUAAUGACAGUACCGGGAGAAUAAGCUCCGGCUAACUCCGUG